ACAUCAUUAUUUGACUGUCGAUA
rnacentral:miRNA from 1 species